AAUCUGGUACCAGUACUAGUAUUACUCUGGUACUGAAUCUGGUACCAGCACUAGUUAUUACUCUAGUACUGAAUCUGGCGUUGUUGGAGAGAGGUCAGACUCUGACAUCUUGAGUAAAAGUCACAUACAGUGAGAACUAACCUUGAAAAUCUCCUAGGAUGUCCCAUAGGUACAGUUGCGGUAUAGAGUGAGUCCUUUUAAGUCUAAUAGUCAGUUUUUCUCUGAUGUUGGAGCAGAUGCCAGUUUCUUUGGUUGGUCACAAAUGCAUUUAUAGACAUUUGAUUUGAAAAUUUUCUAUAUUUUCACCAUACCAUUAUUAUUACUAUUUGAGUAGUGCAUAGAGUUAAAUAUUCAUAAGUUAAAUGCAGAGAGGAUGCAAUUCCACCAUAUGCUACUUUGCUGGACAUUCCUCAGCCCCAAUUUGACCUCCUUUGUGAGGACCAAGAGAUGCUCUGAGGGUCCCAAACAAUCCUACCAUAGAGACAGAAUUGUCUAGAACGGUAGUCCUGUGGAAUGUCAGAGCUGGAAGGGACAUAUGGGAUCAUCUUGUCCCCCUCUGCCAUUUCCUAGGUAGAAACUGAGGCUUGGAGAGAGGAAGGGACCCCAACAAGUCAACAGUGGCUGGACCACAUGCGUCAGGGCCUCCUGGCAGGGCUGGGGCGCAUCCUCGGGAUGAUGCAACAGGCCCCACCAAGCAGCUUGACACACGGUCCGUCCGUCUGUGGCCAAGUGGAGUCACCAGACUUCCACUCCUGGACUCUGUUAUAGAAAUAUUACUGUCUCACAGUUUUCACAGGCUGUGGGUGUUUAUAACUCGUCUGAUCUUCACAACAACUCUGGUGAGCAGGCCUGAGUACGGAUUAUCAUCGGCAUUUUACAGAUGGGAAAACUCAGGCUCAGAAAGGGUGAGCGACUUGCCCACCAUCACAAAGCUUGUCCCUGGGGUCUCCUGGGUGUUGCUCAUCUGACACCAACGCCAGGUAUCUUUUCAUCACAAUGCACUUCCUCUCACUCAUUGUGCUGUGUUGUGUUUCAUAAGACGGUGGAGAAAUAGAGCUGCUCCAGCCAGGCUGGGAUUAGAAGUCAGGACGCUUGACUCCAGCCCGGGUCCUCGGGACCUUUGCUGGUCCAUACAGAGCAGUUAUGUUACUCAGGAAAAUGUGCCGCCCCCUUGGGUUCACGGCUUGGUGACAGACAAGAGGACUUCAGCUACUACACAGUGCCUGAUGGGGAAUAAGCCGAAGAUACUGUGCAGGACUUGACUUCCUCUGCCAGACCCAGCAGGCUGGCCAGUACUUGCUCAGCCGAGCUCUCUUCUGACGGCUGCACAUCGCUGUUGCCCUGCUGGACACAUAUUUGUGGUGGUCGUAUUUUUCCUCCUUAAUUUAUAGUCCAAGUUUUGAAGAUGAAGAAUGUCUUCCAGCCUCUGCACCCCCUCCUCAUCCAUGCUGGGAAAAUGGGAGAAGACAGUGGACUCUGGACUCUCUCCCUGCCCCUCAGAAAAAAUCUGACAUUCCUCUCACAUUAUUGGGUAAGUUGUUAUCUACAGCCAGUCCGUGUUCACGUCCUAAGUAGGGUGGAGGGGAGAAGAUUGCUUUCUUUAAUCCAAAAGGCCCACGAUGGCAUUUUUCUCACCCAAAGAGCUGCCCACCGUCUUGGCUACGCUGUCCUUUCCAUCUGUUCUCUCUUUAGCUACAUCAAGAAAUUUCAGAGGCUUUGCAGUGAGGGGAGUCCCUUAGCACUGCAGCAGGCUCACAUGGUGCCCUCCCCAACAGUCCCGAUGGUGCAAGGCCCACAGCCAGUGGCAUCCCCGUUGGUCAUGGGUCUGUGGCUUCUUCUUUCUAUACCAGCACAAUGUGAACGAGUGAGCAAACACUCGAUUUCUCUGUGUGUGCAGGGGAAAGUGUAUAAAUACAUUGGGGUUGGAGGUUAUGUGAGUGUGUGCAUGUGCGUGCAGAUUGCGUGUGUGCGUGUGUGUGUGCAUGCACUCCCUUAGGCUGGGACUGGAGGUGGUGGGGGGUGCUUGCAUAUGCUAGGGCUGGAGGUCGGGUGGGGUGUGGGACAGGGAGAAGAAAUUUGUAUAUGAUUUGAGAUUUCUCAGGCUGCCUCUUGCCAAGUGGUUUCCUCUGAAGCUCAGAAUCAGCCCAUAUGGCCUGGGGGGUGGAAAAUCUCACUGUCAGCAGCCAGUCUCUGACUCAUUCUGAAAGCCUGCGGGCCUGCCGCUGACUGCCAUGGGCUCCAUGCUCCGACUGGCUCAUCCCUGCCUUCAGGUUGUGCCUCUGAGGACCCAUGCCCCUUCCCAACAGCUCGGAGGGGUCACAGAGACCCUUUGUCACAUCCAUCCCCCUGACUCCUCCCUCCUGCUGGUCCUCUUCCCCACAUCGCAACUCCCUCCGCCAUUCCCUCACUCUGUGUUCAAAGAUCUCCCAGCAAACGUGUCCUCUACCCACCCCAGGAGGUCCUGGAGUGUCUUCAAAUUCCCACAGCUCCUAGCGGCCGUAUCUGCUCUGCCAUCCCUUCCUUUAUCUCUUACUAGCACUCCCUGCUGGGACCUGUCAUCCCAGAGCCAUGGACACAUGAUCAACAUCACCUCUGCUGGGACAGGAGCCACUGAGACUGUGCCCAACAGAGAAGCUGUUAAAACAUGCAGUUCUUCUGUCACAGAAUGUGCGCCCCAGGCACCUCAUGCCAUCCGAGACCCUCCCCUUGCUCCUGAUCCCUUCCCUACCUGUGGGGAGAGUCCGGGUGGGUGGGGCAUGGGGUAAGACGAGGUGUGUUUGUUGGGAGCAUUAGCCAGCAGGAUAGCAGCUGUGCUAGAUUCAGAUCCAGCCAUCCUGAUGCAUCACAAAGGGGCUUCAAAAGGACCACAUCAAAAGGCCAAGCAUCUCUCCCAGGAUUGUGCCACCUACUGCGCUGGGAGCUGGAUCCUCCAUGCAAGGUAUCACCCUGAGCUAAUACCCCCUCAGUUCCACAGGGUGUACCUGCUGCUGCUGACAGAGUCAGGGCUGGAAUUUGGCUGGCAUACGUCGGAGCCACCGUGCUGGUUCUUUAUAGGCGGUGAGCGAGCCAGGUAGCUGCAUCUGCUGCCUGGUCGAUGCCCUUGCCUGGCCCUUGUUAAAUAUUCUCCCCUGGGGUCAAUCCCUCCCCCUCACCACCCACCCACACUCCCUACAGUCAAUCAUGCAUUGGGACCUCGCUGCCAUCAAGACACCCAAAGAGGUACCCAUCUCAGGCUGGCGAUUUCUUCCGGGUGAACUACAUUAUCUGUUUCUACCUACAGCCGCCUCUUCCUAGGAAUCCAUAGACCAUGAUCAGAGCCACAGGGAGACUUCACACAGCCUGCUAGCUUCCUAAAUCCAUUCUCCCAGCUCCUCUGUUCUUCCACUACUUAAUCCCUCCUUCCCACGUCUGUCCUUGAUCUUGGCAUGAAGCCCCCAGCUGCCAGGUUCCGGGGAUGCCCUAUGGAACAACCAGAGCAGUCCAGCAUGGACCCCUGCACAGCCCAGGGGGGGCACCACCUCAUGGGAGCCAAGCUGGGCCCAGGGAGACGAGACUUCUUCCUCUUCCUCGAGAUGCCCUCAGACAAGAAACUCACUACCACCCAAGGCCCCUUCUGAUCAUUAAUGCAGUGGAUUAUGAAUUACAGUGUCACCAAAAGAGAUGAACAAAAAUUCAACUUAAAGUUGAUUUUGAGCUGCUAUUCUUGCCAGGUAAUAGAAAACACAGUUAGUCAUUUCCGGACAAGCUGAGUCCCUGUAGGAUAUGUGCCAUCUCUCUGGGGUGAACAGUCAGAAGAGGACCCUGCCUGCCUCCUCUCUCACCAGGCGACGUCUGAGUUCCGGGGUCUCAGGGCGUUGAUGGGGAGGAGACGUCUGCUUCCUGUCCCCAUCGGUCCUCUGAUGACACACCCUGGAUGUAAGGUUCUCCUCCAGGAUUUGGUCUUUGCAUGUUGGGGUCUCAAGGAAACAGCGGCUGUGCAGGCCUCUCCAAGGUGUGAGAGGCUACCCCCCAGCUCCCCGGCGCCACCUGCCAUUCUUUUGGCUGCUACAAGAAAAGGAAUAAGGGAUGGAUGGUUUGACUUGCAGCACAUGCUGCCUAUUAUUUUUGGUUGUUCUACAUUUUAACCCCGAUGGUAUUCCAGGCAACUGAAAGGAAGUUGCUGGAGAAGAAGACUUUACCUCAAUAUAUAGAAGCUGCCCUUGACAUGUUGCAGGAAUAUGGGUUUUGGAGAAGACAGACGUGGGUUCGUAAAUAAGAGUGUGAACUUCCUGACACACAGGAAUUAAAACGUGAUCAGAAAACAUUCUUCACUAGGAUGAGGAAUUGAGAAGUCAGGGAGGAGAGCUACAUUUCAUUGAGGGCCCCUAUUUUUCUCUUUAGAAAUGUUCAUUGCUUUUUUAAUUGUGAAAGUCACACAAAUUCGUUAUGGGAAAUUUUUGAAAUGUAAAAAUGGUGUAAACAAAAACAUUAAAAGUCACCCAUAAUCUCACCAGAAACGACCGUUGUAAAUAUUUUGACAUGUUUUCUUCUGGCCUUUUGUCUCUGUGUGUGGGUGUGUGUAGAUUUACAUAAUUCUGCUAAUUCUUUUACACACACUUUGCAUCCUCUUUUUGUUGUGUUUUUUUUGUUUGUUUUCUUACAUCUACUGUUAUACCAUGAGUUUUUUCAAUUUUCCCCUAAAAUAUCUGUGAAGCCACCAAAAAACAAGAUGAAAGAGAAACUGAAAAAUAAACGUAUCUUUUCUUGAGGGCAUGUUAUGUGCCAGGCA